rnacentral:rRNA from 2 species
UAAGUGACUAAGCGUACACGGUGGAUGCCUUGGCAGUCAGAGGCGAUGAAAGACGUAGUAACUUGCGAUAAGCCCAGAUUAGGUAGUAACAACCAUUUGAGUCUGGGAUUUCUGAAUGGGGAAACCCACGUGCAUAAGCACGUAUCCUUACCUGAAUACAUAGGGUAAGGAGGCGAACCGGGGGAACUGAAACAUCUAAGUACCCCGAGGAAAAGAAAUCAACCGAGAUUCCGAAAGUAGCGGCGAGCGAAAUUGGACUAGCCCUUAAGCUUUACACGCGUUAGACGAACGGUCUGGAAAGUCCGACGAUACAGGGUGAUAGUCCCGUAGUUGACGACGUGUGUUCAGUGAAAUCGAGUAGGGCGGGACACGUGAUAUCCUGUCUGAAUAUGGGGGGACCAUCCUCCAAGGCUAAAUACUACUGACUGACCGAUAGUGAACCAGUACCGUGAGGGAAAGGCGAAAAGAACCCCUGUGAGGGGAGUGAAAUAGAACCUGAAACCGUGUACGUACAAGCAGUAGGAGCAGGCUUUGUCCUGUGACUGCGUACCUUUUGUAUAAUGGGUCAGCGACUUAUAUUCAGUGGCAAGGUUAACCAUCUAGGGGAGCCGUAGGGAAACCGAGUCUUAACUGGGCGUUCAGUCUCUGGAUAUAGACCCGAAACCAGGUGAUCUAGCCAUGGGCAGGUUGAAGGUUGAGUAACAUCAACUGGAGGACCGAACCGACUAAUGUUGAAAAAUUAGCGGAUGACUUGUGGCUAGGGGUGAAAGGCCAAUCAAACCUGGAGAUAGCUGGUUCUCCCCGAAAGCUAUUUAGGUAGCGCCUCGGACGAAUACUACUGGGGGUAGAGCACUGUUAAGGCUAGGGGGUCAUCCCGACUUACCAACCCUUUGCAAACUCCGAAUACCAGUAAGUACUAUCCGGGAGACACACGGCGGGUGCUAACGUCCGUCGUGGAGAGGGAAACAACCCAGACCGCCAGCUAAGGUCCCAAAUUACUACUAAGUGGGAAACGAUGUGGGAAGGCUCAGACAGCCAGGAUGUUGGCUUAGAAGCAGCCAUCAUUUAAAGAAAGCGUAAUAGCUCACUGGUCGAGUCGGCCUGCGCGGAAGAUGUAACGGGGCUAAGUAGUAAACCGAAGCUGCGGCAAUGUGCUUUUGCACAUUGGGUAGGGGAGCGUUCUGUAAGCGGUUGAAGGUGUGUGGUAACGCAUGCUGGACGUAUCAGAAGUGCGAAUGCUGACAUGAGUAACGAUAAAGGGGGUGAAAAACCUCCUCGCCGGAAGACCAAGGGUUCCUGUCCAACGUUAAUCGGGGCAGGGUAAGUCGACCCCUAAGGCGAGGCCGAAAGGCGUAGUCGAUGGGAAACGGGUUAAUAUUCCCGUACUUCUUACAAUUGCGAUGGGGGGACGGAGAAGGCUAGGUGGGCCUGGCGACGGUUGUCCAGGUUCAAGUGCGUAGGCUUGAGAGUUAGGUAAAUCCGGCUCUUUUUAAGGCUGAGACACGACGUCGAGCACCUACGGGUGUGAAGUCAUUGAUGCCAUGCUUCCAGGAAAAGCCUCUAAGCUUCAGAUUGUAAGGAAUCGUACCCCAAACCGACACAGGUGGUCGGGUAGAGAAUACCAAGGCGCUUGAGAGAACUCGGGUGAAGGAACUAGGCAAAAUGGUACCGUAACUUCGGGAGAAGGUACGCUCUCGACGGUGAAGUCCCUCGCGGAUGGAGCUAUUGAGAGUCGCAGAUACCAGGUGGCUGCAACUGUUUAUUAAAAACACAGCACUGUGCAAAAUCGUAAGAUGACGUAUACGGUGUGACGCCUGCCCGGUGCCGGAAGGUUAAUUGAUGGGGUUAGACUUCGGUCGAAGCUCUUGAUCGAAGCCCCGGUAAACGGCGGCCGUAACUAUAACGGUCCUAAGGUAGCGAAAUUCCUUGUCGGGUAAGUUCCGACCUGCACGAAUGGCGUAAUGAUGGCCACGCUGUCUCCACCCGAGACUCAGUGAAAUUGAAAUCGCUGUGAAGAUGCAGUGUACCCGCGGCUAGACGGAAAGACCCCGUGAACCUUUACUACAGCUUGGCACUGAACAUUGACCCUACAUGUGUAGGAUAGGUGGGAGGCUUUGAAGCACGUACGCCAGUAUGUGUGGAGCCGUCCUUGAAAUACCACCCUUGUAGUGUUGAUGUUCUAACGUCGACCCCUUAUCGGGGUUGCGGACAGUGCCUGGUGGGUAGUUUGACUGGGGCGGUCUCCUCCCAAAGAGUAACGGAGGAGCACGAAGGUGGGCUAAUCACGGUUGGACAUCGUGAGGUUAGUGCAAUGGCAUAAGCCCGCUUGACUGCGAGAAUGACAAUUCGAGCAGGUGCGAAAGCAGGUCAUAGUGAUCCGGUGGUUCUGAAUGGAAGGGCCAUCGCUCAACGGAUAAAAGGUACUCCGGGGAUAACAGGCUGAUACCGCCCAAGAGUUCAUAUCGACGGCGGUGUUUGGCACCUCGAUGUCGGCUCAUCACAUCCUGGGGCUGAAGUCGGUCCCAAGGGUAUGGCUGUUCGCCAUUUAAAGUGGUACGCGAGCUGGGUUUAGAACGUCGUGAGACAGUUCGGUCCCUAUCUGCCGUGGGCGUUGGAAGAUUGAAGGGGGCUGCUCCUAGUACGAGAGGACCGGAGUGGACGAACCUCUGGUGUUCGGGUUGUGUCGCCAGACGCAUUGCCCGGUAGCUAAGUUCGGAAUCGAUAACCGCUGAAAGCAUCUAAGCGGGAAGCGAGCCCUGAGAUGAGUCUUCCCUGAUACUUUAAGUAUCCUAAAGGGUUGUCGGAGACUACGACGUUGAUAGGUCAGGUGUGUAAGUGCUGUGAGGCAUUGAGCUAACUGAUACUAAUUGCCCGUGAGGCUUAACCA